AGAAUUCGGAUUUGUUAUUAUCAUAACCAGAACAAUGUCGUCUGUCCGGAUAUUGAUUGUCCUCAUGGUUGUGUGCAUCCUCGCAGGGAGUUUAGUGCAACAGGCAGAAGCCCAGUGUCGUUGUGCAAUCUUUGGCUGUGGCAGAAGCGAGUGUUACAUAGGAAGAUGUGGAAGAUUGGAUUGGCGCUAUUGGUGCUGCUCAGUCAAUAGCGAUGAGUGUCAAUAAUGGUAAACCAGGAACACCAAAACCACUUGUUUUGGAACAAGCAGUUAAAAUAAAUCAAGACUCGAAACUUGUAUGCGUUAAUGUGUGUAUUCAAUUUUAUUGUUAAUCUGAUAAAGACU